rnacentral:rRNA from 1 species
GCGCACCAGGCGCGAAAACUUUACAAUGCCGGCAACGGCGAUAAGGGAACCUCGAGUGCCAGGUUACAAAUCUGGCUGUCGUGAUGCCUAAAAAGCAUUGCAUAGCAAGGGCCGGGCAAGACCGGUGCCAGCCGCCGCGGUAACACCGGCGGCUCGAGUGGUAACCGUUAUUAUUGGGUCUAAAGGGUCUGUAGCCGGCCGGGUAAGUCUCUUGGGAAAUCUGGCAGCUUAACUGUCAGGCUUUCAGGAGAUACUGCCUGGCUCGAGGCCGGGAGAGGUGAGAGGUACUUCAGGGGUAGGGGUGAAAUCUUGUAAUCCUUGAAGGACCACCAGUGGCGAAGGCGUCUCACCAGAACGGACCUGACGGCAAGGGACGAAAGCUAGGGGCACGAACCGGAUUAGAUACCCGGGUAGUCCUAGCCGUAAACGAUACUCGCUAGGUGUCGGCCACGGUGCGACCGUGGUCGGUGCCGUAGGGAAGCCGUGAAGCGAGCCACCUGGGAAGUACGGCCGCAAGGCUGAAACUUAAAGGAAUUGGCGGGGGAGCAC